rnacentral:rRNA from 1 species
CCUACGGGUGGCUGCAGUGGGGAAUAUUGGGCAAUGAAGGAAACUCUGCCCCAGCACCGCCGCUUGAGGGAUGAGGUUUUUCGGAUUGUACACUUCUGUCGCGAGGGAUGAAGAAUGACGUUACCUCGUAAGAAAGCCCCGGCAAACUACGUUCCAGCAGCCGCGGUAAUACGUAGGGGGCGAGCGUUUUCCGGAAGGACUGGGCGUAAAGGGAGUGUAGGCGGCAUAUUAAGUUAUGUGUGAAAGCCCGCGGCUCACCCGCGGAAUUGCACAUAAAAAUGGUAAGCUGGAGUGCAGGAGAGGUAAGUGGAAUUCCCGGUGUAGCGGUGGAAUGCGUAGAUAUCGGGAGGAACACCAGAGGCGAAGGCGACUUACUGGACUGUAACUGACGCUGAGGCUCGAAAGCGUGGGGAGCAAACAGGAUUAGAUACCCUGGUAGUC